AUGGGGCACCUGAGGGGGAGUGCGGCGUGGAGCUACCGUCCCGGCGGGGGGGCGGCCAGUAAAGGGGCGCCGCCAGUACAGGGGCGCCUGUGUUCGGGAGGUCGGGGGCCAGCGCAGGGCGGGAGUUAGGAGGGCGGGAUCUCCACGAGGUGACACCGGUGACUUCUCUAUUUAUGCAGCCUGAAGAAUGUAAGCGCUUUGCAGCUGGGUUUUCUGACAACCUGCUGGGAGGCAGAACUGCUAAUUCUCUGGAGGCCGAAGCAGAAUGCAGUAGCAGUUGGCUGAUGAAGUGGUUGAGCAGGGAAGAAAAUGAAGACAAGUAAAGCUGAAAGUGAGGCAUUUGGAAAAUAGCCUGAUUUAACCCCAUUUUGUCUGACGCCGAACUUGGAGAGGGACACUAAAUGUGUUGCUUUUAUGAACAAGGCCAUACACAGGGAUUUAAAAUGAACAAUACAGCAAGAAUAAUGGAAUAAACACUGUAUCUGUCCACAA